AGCUUUGCACAGUGGCGGUAUAGCAGCCAAUGAGGUUUAACUGAGGUGCAAUUAUUCCUAAUUGAAAAAAAAAUUUUGUUUAAUUAAAAAAAUUUUAAGUUUAAAAUUUUUUUUAUUUAAUGUUUUGAACACUUGUAAAGGA
ensembl:snRNA U4 U4 spliceosomal RNA